UACGGAGGGUGCAAGCGUUAUCCGGAUUUAUUGGGUUUAAAGGGUGCGUAGGCGGUUAUAUAAGUCAGCGGUGAAAUUUUUCGGCUCAACCGGAAACAUGCCGUUGAUACUGUAUAGCUUGAAUAUGGUUGCUGUGAGUGGAAUGUGUAGUGUAGCGGUGAAAUGCUUAGAUAUUACACAGAAUAUCGAUUGCGAAGGCAACUCACAAAGCCAUUAUUGACGCUGAGGCACGAAAGUGUGGGGAUCAAACAGGAUUAGAUACCCUGGUAGUCCACACUGUAAACGAUGAUAACUAGCUGUCGGCGAUAGACCGUCGGUGGCCAAGCGAAAGCGAUAAGUUAUCCACCUGGGGAGUACGACCGCAAGGUUGAA
rnacentral:rRNA from 1 species